rnacentral:rRNA from 1 species
CCUACGGGAGGCAGCAGUGGGGAAUAUUGCGCAAUGGGCGAAAGCCUGACGCAGCGACGCCGCGUGAGGGAUGAAGGCCUUCGGGUUGUAAACCUCUUUCAGCAGGGACGAAGCGAAAGUGACGGUACCUGCAGAAGAAGCACCGGCUAACUACGUGCCAGCAGCCGCGGCAAUACGUAGGGUGCAAGCGUUGUCCGGAUUUAUUGGGCGUAAAGAGCUCGUAGGCGGUCUGUCGCGUCGGAUGUGAAAACCCCAGGGCUCAACCCUGGGCCUGCAUUCGAUACGGGCAGACUUGAGUGUUGCAGGGGAGACUGGAAUUCCUGGUGUAGCGGUGAAAUGCGCAGAUAUCAGGAGGAACACCGGUGGCGAAGGCGGGUCUCUGGGCAACAACUGACGCUGAGGAGCGAAAGCGUGGGGAGCGAACAGGAUUAGAUACCCUGGUAGUCCACGCCGUAAACGGUGGGCGCUAGGUGUGGGGAACCGUUCCACGUUCUCUGUGCCGCAGCUAACGCAUUAAGCGCCCCGCCUGGGGAGUACGGCCGCAAGGCUAAAACUCAAAUGAAUUGACGG